UCUAAAGUAUUCAAAAAUUCAAAGCAAACAACUUAGUCUCAGCUUAUGAGUUUUUGUUAUCAAAACGAGAAAUUUCAAAGCUCCAAGUGGUUUUAAGUGGCUGUUGUACUUAAGAAAAGAUCCUACCUUACAGAAUGGCAUCCUACAUGUUCUUUGUUUAAGUUUGGUUUCCAAUCUAUCGAAAUGUCUCGCAACGCAAUGCCUUCACUGAAUCCAAUAAUGCUAGAAAAGCUUGUAAGAUUUUUGAAGAAAACCGUGGUUGGCUAUGGGUCGUCAGGCAUGGCCCGAAAUAACUACAGCCCUGAACAGUGAUGCUAGUGGGUGUACUAAGACAUCGGAACAAUGGUGUAAGUACUGGACGGACAAAAAAGGAGCAAUUAAGAGAAAGUCUGGCUUAAUUGAAGC